GAUGAACGCUGGCGGCGUGCCUAAUACAUGCAAGUCGAGCGAACGGACGAGAAGCUUGCUUCUCUGAUGUUAGCGGCGGACGGGUGAGUAACACGUGGAUAACCUACCUAUAAGACUGGGAUAACUUCGGGAAACCGGAGCUAAUACCGGAUAAUAUUUUGAACCGCAUGGUUCAAAAGUGAAAGACGGUCUUGCUGUCACUUAUAGAUGGAUCCGCGCUGCAUUAGCUAGUUGGUAAGGUAACGGCUUACCAAGGCAACGAUGCAUAGCCGACCUGAGAGGGUGAUCGGCCACACUGGAACUGAGACACGGUCCAGACUCCUACGGGAGGCAGCAGUAGGGAAUCUUCCGCAAUGGGCGGAAGCCUGACGGAGCAACGCCGCGUGAGUGAUGAAGGUCUUCGGAUCGUAAAACUCUGUUAUUAGGGAAGAACAUAUGUGUAAGUAGCUGUGCACAUCUUGACGGUACCUAAUCAGAAAGCCACGGCUAACUACGUG
rnacentral:rRNA from 1 species